rnacentral:tRNA from 1 species
ACCUGAGUGGCUCAGUCAGUUAAGCAUCUGACUUGGGCUCAGGUCAUGAUCUCGCGGUUCGUGGGUUCGAGCCCCACAUCAGGCU